GACUUCUCUUAUAAUAUUGCAACUUCUUCAGGAGUGAUGGUGACUUCUGGGCAUUUUCAGGAGAUCAAAAUCACAAUCCCCUUCUUGCUUCUCUGUCUGCCUCUUCAAAAUUAAGAAAUAACAAAUCAUGACAUAUUAAAGAAUCCCACAUGGGUUGGCAUUGAUGUCGUUGUGCCACCUAGAUCCCACGUAACACGGCUCGCUUAACAGUCUGUGAUUUCUUUCUGUAACCUUAGCUAUCAGGUAGAGCAGGCCAGCCAUUCUUCCCGGGCUUCCAGCACCCCAGGGGGAGGAAAAAUCUACAAUACAGUUCUGGUCACUUACU